CCGAACUAAGGGUGCUGAAGGCAGGCAAAGUUCAAACAGCACAAAGGCGAAGGGGAAAAGCUUCUCAAUGCUUGUUUCAUUUCCUUUGUGCUUUCAAAAAACGCAGUUACACCCACCUCCAGAUGAGAUUAAAUUGAUCUUAAGACUUGCUACCAGCCUUUCUAGGUGAGGUCUUACGCUCUUCCCAUAAGGUCUGAUAUUCUUACCAAAUUACUCCAAUAAUCAAAAAACUUCACCAUUACCCUUCCCCCGUUUUAUGGAAAACUAUUGUACUAAUUUCUCGCCUAUCCAGCUUCUUUCUGUACUUCCUGAAUACCUUCCGCUGGCACAGGUGAGGGGUUUCAGACCAUUAAAAACCUAUUUUCACAUUUAAAGUGUGCGUAGCACAUCAUUGCUGCGAAACACUUGGAGAUAGGUUAACUGAUUUCACCUCGCCCUGCUUGGCCAAGGUGUUUAAGGCAUGGGGGCCUCGCUGGGUUACACCGCGGCGCAGGGGACAAGGACACGUCUCCUCGUCCCGCCUUGGCCGGUGGCAGCGAGCGCUCACGGGGUUGACGGCGCGGUUGGCAGCGCCCCCGGCAUCGCUGCGCCCUGAGGUCACCGUCCCGCGGCGCCGCGGCACGGGAGGCCGGAGGAGCCGCCAAGACGCUCCUCUUGGCCCCGAACCAAAGCUUUCCCAGCCCUCCGGACCCCAUAGCAGGAAGGAUGGAGAACCAGGAUGAAGAACCAGGAUGGAGAACCAGGAUGAAGAACCAGGAUGGAGACGAGGAAGGAUGGAGAACCAGGAUGGAGAACCAGGAUGAAGAACCAGGAUGAAGAACCAGCUGUAGAGAUCCAGGAUGGAGAACCAGGAUGAAGAACCAGGAUGAAGAACCAGGUGUAGAGAUCCAGGAUGGAGAACCAGGAUGGAGAACCAGGAUGAAGAACCAGCUGUAGAGAUCCAGGAUGGAGAACCAGGAUGAAGAACCAGGAUGAAGAACCAGGUGUAGAGAUCCAGGAUGGAGAACCAGGAUGAAGAACCAGGUGUAGAGAUCCAGGAUGGAGAACCAGGAUGAAGAACCAGGAUGAAGAACCAGGUGUAGAGAUCCAGGAUGGAGAACCAGGAUGGAGAACCAGGUGUAGAGAUCCAGGAUGGAGAACCAGGAUGAAGAACCAGGUGUAGAGAUCCAGAUGGAGAACCAAGAUGGAGAACCAGGAUGAAGAACCAGGAUGGAGAACCAGGAUAAAGAACCAGGAUGGAGACGAGGUGCUCAGGGACAUGGGGUAUUGCCAAGGCUGGGUUAUGGUUGAACUCCAUGAUCUUGAGGGUCAUUCCCAACCAAAAUGAUUCUUUUAUUUAGAUCCAUGGGCACCAAACCCACCACCCCUCAGCACCACGUUAGAACCACAGAAUGUCCUGAGCUGGAAGAACCCACAACGACCAUCGAGUCCAACUCCUGUCCUGCACAGGACACCCUGCAGUUCAUAACACCGAGCAGCCCCUGUCCAAACGAUUCCAUGAUUUAAUAGGAUCACGGGAUGGUUUGGGUUGGAAGAAACCUUAAAGUUCAUCUAUUUUCUCAUCUUUGUACUUAGUGAUCAAACCGUGUUCGUAAAAUUGACUUAGAUUUAUGAUAUAUUCUAUUAAAACAGGCAACUGAGAAGUAACUGAGAAUCACGCAAAUGUUACUUAUAAUUGCUUAAACAAUAGCUUGUUUUAGAAUGGGCGUGGAAUAUCACAGUAUCACAGUAUGUUUGGGAUUGGAAGGGACUUCAAAAGCUCAUCCAGUGCAAUCCCCCCAUGGAGCAGGAACACCCAGAUGAGGUUACACAGGAAGGUGUCCAGGCGGGUUGGAAUGUCUGCACAGAAGGAGACUCCACAACCCCCUGGGCAGCCUGGGCCAGGCUCUGCCACCCUCACCCCCAACAAGUUGCUUCUCAUAGUCAAGUGGAACCUCCUGUGUUCCAGUUUGCACCCAUUGCCCCUUGUCCUG